UUAAUUUGAUCCAUGAUGACACCGACAAACUUUCCCCAUUCGUCAAGAACUGAACAAAUGAGAGAUCAUGGAAACUAGAAACCGAGACAGCAUCUCUCUGACUCUGUCUCAUGGCAUGGAAAUCACUUUCGUCAAAACCUCUGUAAUUUCACUAAUACUCCUCUUCACACUCCUCUUCUUCCUAAUCUCUCCGCCCCAUCAUGAUGAAAACCUCAGAAAACCCUUGGAAACAUCAUUAAUUCCACACAGGUCCCUUUUGAAUUCAUCUUCUUCAAUCUCAUCAUGUUCAUCAAUUCUUGAAAUCCCAAUACAAGAACGUUGUUCUUUCUCAUUAAUUCAUUGUAAUGGCGAUUCAAAUGGUCUUUUUAAUUACUCAUCACUACAUUUCUGUAUCUUUAGAGAAAACCCAUUCUUUACAAUCCCUAUUCUUUCAUGUAUUCUUCUUCUGCAAUUCUAUUUCUUAGUUAAAACUGCUCAAGAUAGAUUCUCUAUCGUUGUUACUAAACUGACAAAGUACCUUGAUCUUUCACCCAGUAUGGGUGCUGUUACACUCCUCGCUUUAGGUAAUGGGGCACCAGAUGUAUUUGCAUCAGUAGCUGCAGUUCGAGGUGGUCAUGCAAGAACUGGUCUUGGUGCUAUUCUAUCUGCUGGGACUUUUGUUUCUGCAUUUGUUGUUGGUUUUGUUACUAUAUAUGCUGCGCCUUUUAAUGUGGAUGCAUCUUCAUUUGUUAGAGAUGUUUUCUUCUAUUUGAUUGCGGCGUUUACUUUGUUUUAUGUAUAUUUGAGUGCUGAGAUAUAUCUUUGGCAAGCUAUUGGGUUUGUGGGGUUUUAUGUUUUCUUUGUUGGGUUUGUGUUUUAUAUGGAUGUUGUUAAAGUCGAUGAAAAAGUAGGGAAAGAUGGUGGUGGAGAUAGUUUAGAAAUGAGUAAAUUGUUGAAUGAAGAUUUGAAGGGUUUUAAUAAAGUUGUGGAUUAUGAGAAGGGUGAUGAACAAGUUCUUUAUGUCGAGGAGGAAAAGAAGACGGGGUUUUGUGGAGUUCUUGAAAAGAUAUCAAAAAUUUGGGAGUUUCCAGUCUCAACUCUCUUGAACCUCACGAUCCCACAAACAAACCCUUCUGAGUGGAGUAGAUUUUACAUCUCAGCUAAUAUCGCACUGUGUCCGCUCGCUCUUUUAUACUCCUGCAAUUCAUUCAUCCCAUUUGACCACGGUAUCAUUUUCCUCCUUCCACAUACCCGGUUGCCUCUCUGGUCAGUCAUCCUCUUCAUAUGCUCCAUACUUGCCCUGCUUCAUUACAUCUUUGAGACGGAGCCUCCAGAAUCUGAGCAGAUACCAGCGGUAGUCAUCGCAUUUAUGAUGAGUGUAUUUUGGAUAUCCACAAUAGCAGGAGAACUCCUAGAUUGUCUGGCAGCAUUUGGAACCAUUCUAGAAUUACCUCCAGCACUUCUUGGGCUUACAGUACUUGCAUGGGGUAACUCAGUUGGGGACCUUGUUGCUGAUGUGGCCGUAGCAAAGGCGGGAAAUCCUGCAAUGGCAAUGGCAGGUUGCUUUGCAGGACCCAUGUUUAAUAUGCUUGUUGGACUGGGAACAGGGUUGGUGAUUCAAACAGUUGAUGUUUAUCCGUUGGCAUAUAAGAUUCAGUUCCACUUGAGUAUCGUCAUUGCGUUUGUGUUCUUGUUGUUGAGCUUAAUGGGUUCGUUAUUGGUUAUAACAUGGUCGAGAUUCCGAGUUCCGAGGUUUUGGGGAUUCUGCCUUGUUAGUCUCUAUAUUGUUUUCACUAUAGUAAGUUUGGUCAUUGCUACAUUUUCAAAGUAAACAUUUCUGGCGGAAGGGUUAAUACGAACUGUUUUUAUUUGUUCGUUCUCCACCCCAUUCAGUGACUCACUGGUUCAUCAUAGCAGUACCCUUCAGUUAUUAGUGUAAGUGUAGAAAUGGUUAGAGAAAGUGUGGAGGAUUCUUAAGUGAACCAAUUUGGGUCUGUUCACCUGCAUCCAUUUGGGGUACGAUCAGUUCUCUGUGUUCGGGGGAUAUGAAAGAGAUCAACAUAUGCGGUAGCUGAGAUUUCGGGUUUCUUGUCAUCCUUGCAAAGUCCAGAAAUGUGCGCAGCCAGACUUGGCUUGGCAACAGGAGAAACCAUUCUUGCCGAUGAUCAGUUCAAGGAUCCCAUCCGACAAUGCCUAUGAACCUUUCGACUGCUUCUCCUUCUGCCUUGCUUUCAAAUCUGCGACACAGUUCUUCAUCACUUUUCUGCUAUUGGCAUAUUAUUAUUGCUUAUAAAUUAUUCCAUUUAUGUUUUGACAAGAAUUUUUUUAUAGACAAACAAACUAUCACAUACCAAAAUCAGCUUGUAAUUCCGAUUGAACUGAGGUGGGUGUUUAGAGUCUGUAGACCACCCGACCAUACACAUGUAUACUAAAUUAUUUACCCUUGCA